rnacentral:lncRNA from 1 species
CCAGGGAGUAGUGAAGCUGCGCGAGACCCGUCGUAGGGAGUGGAGUAGUGCUGUGACCAUUACUGUGGCCUGUCAGGGAGUGAUGGAGCUGCAUAGAGUCCGUCGCAGGAAGUGGAGCAGUGUUGUCCGUUACUGUGGCCUGCCAGGGGGUCCAGACUUGUCGGUCGAAGUUCGGUUGGAGUCGGUAGCGAGGUCCGGCUCCCGUAGGAGUCCGAGCGGAGUCUUCCUGCAAUUAAAGUUAAAGGCGAAGUCCGGCUCCCGUAGGAG